rnacentral:rRNA from 1 species
AUUGAACGCUGGCGGCAGGCCUAACACAUGCAAGUCGAACGAGUGGCGGACGGGUGAGUAAUGUCUGGGAAACUGCCUGAUGGAGGGGGAUAACUACUGGAAACGGUAGCUAAUACCGCAUACCAUCAGAUGUGCCCAGAUGGGAUUAGCUUGUUGGGGGGGUAACGGCUCACCAAGGCGACGAUCCCUAGCUGGUCUGAGAGGAUGACCAGCCAAACUGGAACUGAGACACGGGCCAGACGCCUACGGGAGGCAGCAGUGGGGAAUAUUGCACAAUGGGCGAAAGCCUGAUGCAGCCAUGCCGCUUGUAUGAAGAAGGCCUUCGGGUUGUAAAGCACUUUAAGUUAGGAGGCGUUACCAACAGAAUAAGCACCGGCUAACUUCGUGCCAGCCGCCGCGGUAAUAC